GGCCAGGUAGCUCAGUUGGAAGAGCACGGGUCUGAAGAACCCGGUGUCGGCGGUUCGAUCCCGUCCCUGGCCACGA
rnacentral:tRNA from 1 species